rnacentral:rRNA from 1 species
GUGGGGAAUUGUUCGCAAUGGGCGCAAGCCUGACGACGCAACGCCGCGUGGAGGAUGAAGACCUUCGGGUCGUAAACUCCUUUCGAUCGAGACGAAUGGCCUCCGGGUGAACAAUCCGGAGGAGUGACGGUACCGAGAGAAGAAGCCCCGGCUAACUCCGUGCCAGCAGCCGCGGUAAUACGGGGGGGGCAAGCGUUGUUCGGAAUUACUGGGCGUAAAGGGCUCGUAGGCGGCCAACUAAGUCAGACGUGAAAUCCCUCGGCUUAACCGGGGAACUGCAUCUGAUACUGGAUGGCUUGAGUUCGGGAGAGGGAUGCGGAAUUCCAGGUGUAGCGGUGAAAUGCGUAGAUAUCUGGAGGAACACCGGUGGCGAAGGCGGCAUCCUGGACCGACACUGACGCUGAGGAGCGAAAGCCAGGGGAGCAAACGGGAUUAGAAACCCCAGUAGUCC